rnacentral:sRNA from 1 species
UUGAUGGUCCUGGGGACUGACAUCCAGUACACAGAUCAGGUGCAGCAUGGGCAGUGGCAGUGCAAGCUUCACCCAUGCUGCUAUUCCAGGGAGCCUCAGCCCUUAUCAGGAGAAUCAUCCUCUAGAGAAUGAAUAGGUAAGUGAAUCUUCAGACUAUGAAGGCCCUGAUCUU